rnacentral:misc_RNA from 1 species
AGUCGGUCUACUACAGAUGAUGUUCUCAUUAGGGACCUGAGGGGAGAUAAGAUUACUAUAACAGUGACAGUGACCCUCCCAACUUGGAUUUUCUUUCCAUAAAAUUGAGAUUGGGAUAAUGAAUUCUCAGUUGGGGACUACACAUAUAAAUGGUGAUGAGCUUAUGGUUCCUGUUAGGGAUCAUGAGAGUGCUGUGGACUUGGAAAUGCCUGAGAUUUGAGGUGUUACCUCUCUAGGUUUCGAUGUUGCUUUUUGGGUUACUGUUUCCCUACUGUCUUAUUUUAUAGUUGUUUCUUUUAUGUUAAUUCUUGUAUGGAAUAUUCAGGGCAUUGUAGGAAAGCAUGGCUUACAGACCCUAAAAGAUCUAUGUCGUCAUAAUAAUCCUAUGGUGUUGGUGUCAGUGGAAAUGAAAGUUAGUGGUCAGUGAGUUGAUCUUACUUUCUUAUCUCUUAGGUUUGAUGAAUGGGUAAGGGUGGAAGCUAGGGAAUUGAGUUAGGGGAUUUGGGUGUCA